rnacentral:lncRNA from 1 species
CCGAGGAUCGCACCGUUCGGUCCUCCCGGCACCGCUCUUUGUUUCUGCCUUAAAUCCACCCCGAACUGCCACCCGCGGGCAGCCGCUGGCCGGGCCUCAGCUUCCUCAUUUCACUGUCCCCCUUUCUUCAUCGUGUCACCAGCAAGCACUAACUUCAAAGUCCCCAGAAAAGGUGUAUUUAAAACAGCGUUUCUCCGAGGCAAGGGACGAGCACCUCGACCCCCUGCAGAACCCCGCCGCUCCCUUUGUUCUCGCGGCCCCGACCCGGCCGGCCUGCAGACCCCGGCCCAGCGCACCUCCGCCCCGGCCAGCCUCCGGCGCACAGCCCCCAGUGAGAUCGGGCCGGAUCGGACCGCGGACCCCGACCCAGGACCCCGGACUCCGGGUCCCAGACCGCGGACCGCGACUCAGCACCCAGGACGGCGGACCCCGAGCCGGGACCCCAGACCGAGAAGCCAGGACCGCGGGCUUGGAACCAGGACCCCGCAGAACGCGGAUCGCAGACCUGGCCUCAGGGUCCCAAGCCCCCGCCCCAAGCCCCUAGCCUCCAGCCCCUCCGACCCCGGCCCCAGGGCCCGAAAUCCGGACCCUGAUCCCGGCCAGAGCGCCCAGACCCCGGCCGCACAUCCCGAGCCCCGGACCUGGGACACCGGACCACCGCCCAGACCCCGGCCCCAGCCGAGGCCCGCAGGGUCCCCGCCCGCUGCCGGCCCGCGACCCCACCCGGGCGGGGCAGGAAGACGCGGCCCCGCGGCGGGGUGGGGGCGGGGAGGGUGGGGGCGGGGCGGCUCCUGGCAGGCGACUGUGGGGAGGGGCCGUGGCCCGGGUCGCGGGGCAGGGGCUGCCGCGCUCACCUCGUCCCGCCUGACGCGCCCGCGCCCCGCCGCCUCAGCCGCCUCAGCCGCCUCAGCCGCCUCGGCCGCCGCUCUGGAGGUGGUCGCGCUCGGGCCGCUCCGCGGGCGCUGCGGGCAGGUGCGCCGGCGAGGCUCGGUCCGGUCCCGCGGCGGCUGUUCCACUCCCGCGCCCGCGCCCGCUCCCGCUCCCGCUCCCGCUCCCGCUCCGCCGCCGCCUCCGUCCGCCCCUCAGACGCCUCCAGCCAUCGGGAUGGGCGCGGCGGCCCCUGCCCGCAGCCUCGGGAAACCCCACGCCGCGUCACCGCGCACGUCGCGCGCGCACGCACGGCCCGGCCGCGGCCCCGGCGCGCGCACGCUCGCGCGCUUCCUCCCUGCGCCCACCCCGGGAGCGUGCGCGAGCGGCUUAAAGGGGCCGCGCUGGCGGUAG